AGCACUAAUUUUAAUUUUAUCAUGUGCGAUGACAUGGAACUACAACUGCAAAUACCUCAGCGCCGUCGAAGUGAAGUGGCAAAUAUGGCGGCGGGUGGUCCCCCAAACUUGCAAAAUCUGCCUGCAGUACUUGCAGCACAGAACAAUAUGAACCAAGUACUUGGGCGAGCGACCUUUGUUGCUGGUUUUGUAGAAAGGUUUAAUGCUAACAGAACGGGGCAACCACCUCCGACUAUGGGGAAGAGGCAUAACCUGAAACGCUCUAGAGGCCGACCAGUUGCCGAAUAUGCAAUGAAAAUCAUUGUUUUGGAUGGCCCCAAUUAUGAAAUGAGGCCAAUGUCGAAGUCCUCCAGAGACAAACUUAAAGAGGCCGGACUAGGUUGCCUCCAAGAAGAUGGCAAGGAUAUGAUUCGUGUUCCGGCAGAUCUGUCGGAACACGAGUUUACCUCAUUUCUUGUGGAGAAAUGCCCCAAAUUAAGGGGAAUUAAUUAUAUAUUUCAUGUAUCAGAUUCGCAUGGGAAAUUAGUUUCAGUAGCGUGUACUACACCAUCUGCAUUACGCCUAAAGACAAAAAACAUCGAGGAGGGUGGUAUACAUUGUCCCUACAGAAGAGCUUACUUUGGACCCUAUCGAAGCCCCAGCAGCAAAUGUUACAGUUGGAAGGGACCCUAUCGAAGCCCCAGCUGAAGCUCAGCCAGGUCCAGCAAAUAUCAGAAGGGACCCUAUCGAAGUCACAGCUGCAGCUCAGCCAGGUCCAGCAGAUGCGACAGUUAGAAGGG